rnacentral:piRNA from 1 species
UACUUCAAGGUCACGAUGGCAUGCGGAAU